CAAACCCUGCAGCUCCAACCCGGCAGGAUGUGUGACAAUUCAGGAACGCCCAGCCAGGCGUGGCGGCGUGUGCAUGGAAUUCCAGCUCCUGGGACGAUGAGGCAGGAGGAUUUCUGGGAGUCUGAGGCCAGCCUGGACUCCACAGAAAGGGUCUUGAUACAUAGUCCACACUGGCCUCAAACUCACUAUGUAGUCCAGACUGGCCUGAAAUUCUGGAUCCUCCUGCUUCAGCCUCCUGAGUGCUGGGAUUACAG
ensembl:lncRNA